rnacentral:rRNA from 1 species
CUGCAGUCGAGCGGAGCUUAGCCUUCCUUUGGAAGGCUCUGGCUUAGCGGCGGACGGGUGAGUAACACGUAGGCAACCUGCCCGUAAGACCGGGAUAACUUGCGGAAACGUGAGCUAAUACCGGAUAGAUGGGAAGAGCGCAUGCUCUUCUUAGGAAAGACGGAGCAAUCUGUCACUUACGGAUGGGCCUGCGGCGCAUUAGCUAGUUGGUGGGGUAAAGGCCUACCAAGGCGACGAUGCGUAGCCGACCUGAGAGGGUGACCGGCCACACUGGGACUGAGACACGGCCCAGACUCCUACGGGAGGCAGCAGUAGGGAAUCUUCGGCAAUGGACGGAAGUCUGACCGAGCAACGCCGCGUGAGUGAAGAAGGUUUUCGGAUCGUAAAACUCUGUUGCCAGAGAAGAAAGCUAAGGAGAGUCACUGCUCUUUGGUUGACGGUAUCUGAGAAGAAAGCCCCGGCUAACUACGUGCCAGCAGCCGCGGUAAUACGUAGGGGGCAAGCGUUGUCCGGAAUUAUUGGGCGUAAAGCGCGCGCAGGCGGCUGAUAAGUCUGGUGUUUAAACCUGGGGCUCAACCUCGGGUCGCAUUGGAAACUGCUUGGCUGGAGUGCAGGAGAGGAAAGUGGAAUUCCCGUGUAGCGGUGAAAUGCGUAGAGAUGUGGAGGAACACCGGAAGCGACUUUCUGGCUGUAACUGACGCUGAGCGCGAAAGCGUGGGGAGCAAACAGGAUUAGAUACCCGUAGUCCACGCCGUAAACGAUGGCAGGUCAGGGGUUCAUCCCUUGGUGCAAGUAUAACUGGGCCAUGAAUCGAUUGGG